rnacentral:rRNA from 1 species
GACGAACGCUGGCGGCGUGCUUAACACAUGCAAGUCGAACGCUGAAGCUUGGUGCUUGCACUGGGUGGAUGAGUGGCGAACGGGUGAGUAAUACGUGAGUAACCUGCCCUUGACUCUGGGAUAAGCCUGGGAAACUGGGUCUAAUACUGGAUACGACAUGCCACUGCAUGGUGGUGUGUGGAAAGGGUUUUACUGGUUUUGGAUGGGCUCACGGCCUAUCAGCUUGUUGGUGGGGUAAUGGCCUACCAAGGCGACGACGGGUAGCCGGCCUGAGAGGGUGACCGGCCACACUGGGACUGAGACACGGCCCAGACUCCUACGGGAGGCAGCAGUGGGGAAUAUUGCACAAUGGGCGGAAGCCUGAUGCAGCGACGCCGCGUGAGGGAUGACGGCCUUCGGGUUGUAAACCUCUUUCAGCACGGAAGAAGCGAGAAUGACGGUACGUGCAGAAGAAGCGCCGGCUAACUACGUG